rnacentral:sRNA from 1 species
GCAGGUUUGAGUUGAGCGCAGCGAAACAACGGAGCCGCUCGCGGCGAGGCCCGAAGGGCGAGCGAAGCGAGUCAUCCUGCACGACCCACCA